rnacentral:rRNA from 1 species
UGGGGAAUAUUGGACAAUGGGCGAAAGCCUGAUCCAGCCAUGCCGCGUGUGUGAAGAAGGUCUUCGGAUUGUAAAGCACUUUAAGUUGGGAGGAAGGGCAGUUACCUAAUACGUGAUUGUUUUGACGUUACCGACAGAAUAAGCACCGGCUAACUCUGUGCCAGCAGCCGCGGUAAUACAGAGGGUGCAAGCGUUAAUCGGAAUUACUGGGCGUAAAGCGCGCGUAGGUGGUUUGUUAAGUUGGAUGUGAAAUCCCCGGGCUCAACCUGGGAACUGCAUUCAAAACUGACUGACUAGAGUAGGGUAGAGGGUGGUGGAAUUUCCUGUGUAGCGGUGAAAUGCGUAGAUAUAGGAAGGAACACCAGUGGCGAAGGCGACCACCGGGACUAAUACUGACACUGAGAUGCGAAAGCGUGGGGAGCAAACA